UCAAAAAUAGUUUAAUAAAAUAUUAAUUUUGGAGAUUAAAGUUAUUUUAAAUUUAAUUUUUUGAA
rnacentral:tRNA from 1 species